rnacentral:rRNA from 1 species
GUGAACGCUGGCGGUAGGCCUAACACAUGCAGGUCGAACGGCAGCACAGUAAGAGCUUGCUCUUACGGGUGGCGAGUGGCGGACGGGUGAGGAAUACAUCGGAAUCUACUUUUUCGUGGGGGAUAACGUAGGGAAACUUACGCUAAUACCGCACACGACCUACGGGUGAAAGCAGGGGAUCUUCGGACCUUGCGCGAUUGAAUGAGCCGAUGUCGGAUUAGCUAGUUGGCGGGGUAAAGGCCCACCAAGGCGACGAUCCGUAGCUGGUCUGAGAGGAUGAUCAGCCACACUGGAACUGAGACACGGUCCAGACUCCUACGGGAGGCAGCAGUGGGGAAUAUUGGACAAUGGGCGCAAGCCUGAUCCAGCCAUACCGCGUGGGUGAAGAAGGCCUUCGGGUUGUAAAGCCCUUUUGUUGGGAAAGAAAAGCAGCAGGUUAAUACCCCGCUGUUCUGACGGUACCCAAAGAAUAAGCACCGGCUAACUUCGUG